GCAGCAGCCACGGGAAUACGAAGGGGGCUAGCGUUGUUCGGAUUUACUGGGCGUAAAGGGCGCGUAGGCGGACUGAUAAGUCAGGGGUGAAAUCCCAAGGCUCAACCUUGGAACUGCCUUUGAUACUGUUUGUCUUGAGUUCGAGGGAGGUAAGUGAAACUGCGAGUGUAGAGGUGAAAUUCGCAGAUAUUCGCAAGAACACCAGUGGCGAAGGCGGCUUACUGGCUCGAAACUGACGCUGAGGCGCGAAAGCGUGGGGAGCAAACAGGAUUAGAUACCCCCGUAGUCCCUGUCUCUUAUAC
rnacentral:rRNA from 1 species